UCCUACGGGAGGCAGCAGUGGGGAAUAUUGCACAAUGGGGGAAACCCUGAUGCAGCGACGCCGCGUGAGUGAAGAAGUAUUUCGGUAUGUAAAGCUCUAUCAGCAGGAAAGAAAAUGACGGUACCUGACUAAGAAGCCCCGGCUAACUACGUGCCAGCAGCCGCGGUAAU
rnacentral:rRNA from 1 species